rnacentral:rRNA from 1 species
CCUACGGGAGGCAGCAGUGAGGAAUAUUGGUCAAUGGCCGUAAGGCUGAACCAGCCAAGUAGCGUGAGGGAAGACUGCCCUAUGGGUUGUAAACCUCUUUUAUGCGGGGAUAAAGGUGUCCACGUGUGGAUGUUUGCAGGUACCGCAUGAAUAAGGACCGGCUAAUUCCGUGCCAGCCGCCGCGGUAAUACGGAAGGUCCGGGCGUUAUCCGGAUUUCUUGGGUUUAAAGGGAGCGUAGGCCGGUCUUUAAGCGUGCCGUGAAAUUUUUUGGCUCAACCAUGAGAGUGCGGCGCGAACUGGAGACCUUGAGUGCGCGGAAGGCAGGCGGAAUUCGUGGUGUAGCGGUGAAAUGCUUAGAUAUCACGAAGAACCCCGAUUGCGAAGGCAGCCGGCCGAAGCGUUACUGACGCUGAAGCUCGAAAGCGCGGGUAUCGAACAGGAUUAGAUACCCCUGUAGUC